rnacentral:rRNA from 1 species
ACAGGGGAGACAGGUGGUGCAUGGUUGUCGUCAGCUCGUGUCGUGAGAUGUUGGGUUAAGUCCCGCAACGAGCGCAACCCUUAUCUUUAGUAGCCAGCGGUUUGGCCGGGCACUCUAGAGAGACUGCCAGGGAUAACCUGGAGGAAGGCGGGGAUGACGUCAAAUCAUCAUGCCCCUUAUGAGCAGGGCUACACACGUGCUACAAUGGCGUAAACAAAGGGAGGCGAAGCCGCGAGGUGGAGCAAAUCCCAAAAAUAACGUCUCAGUUCGGAUUGUAGUCUGCAACUCGACUACAUGAAGCUGGAAUCGCUAGUAAUCGCAAAUCAGAAUGUUGCGGUGAAUACGUUCCCGGGUCUUGUACACACCGCCCGUCACACCAUGGGAGUUGGUAACGCCCGAAGUCAGUGACCCAACCGUAAGGAGGGAGCUGCCGAAGGCGGGACUGAUGACUGGGGUGAAGUCGUAACAAGGUAGCCGUAUCGGAAGGUGCGGUUGGAUCACCUC